AAUUCACUUGUUUUCCAAUCCUAAUAAAACUGUCAAGAUUCACAUGAUAUUGUAAUGUUUACAUUAUUUUCAAAAUACAAUAUUGUUUACACUAAUGAGAAAAGACAACUCUUCACCAGAGAUUAAAUAGAAGUUAACAGCUAUCAUGACUAUAGGUCACCUUACAUCCUUCAACAAUGAGCAAAGCCCAUGUAUCUAAUAGUCCGCUAUAAAAGACCCCAAAUGAAAAUGAUAAAUUUGUAAAACAUUUCAAACAAGAAAACUAACUAGACUAAUUUAUGUACAAAAAAAGAACAAAAAAACAAAAUAUAAUAUACAGCAACAAACCAAACCACUGAAUUACAGGCUGAUACUCAUGUACAGAAUGUGAUGGGGCUAGACUAGUAGUUUUGUGAUGCCAAACCCAUCUAUCUGGGGAUAUUAUUGUGAACAAGGCCUAACUCAUCAAUCUAAACAAAGCAGAAAGACAUCUUACACAUCCCCUUAACAAAAAAGACUAAGUACAUAUCUGAGAGUACUCCCUGAGUUACAUGUACCAACAGCUAGUUCAAAGCCAAUAACAAGACUUUUGGUGUAAUUAUGAAUAACUUCAAAUUUCAAAGUACAUGAUCAUGCAUGUAUCAUGAUUAUUAAAAUGACUUACU
rnacentral:lncRNA from 1 species